CCUACGGGGGGCUGCAGUGGGGAAUUUUGGACAAUGGGCGCAAGCCUGAUCCAGCCAUGCCGCGUGAGUGAAGAAGGCCUUCGGGUUGUAAAGCUCUUUCGGCGGGGAAGAAAUUGCUCAGGAUAAUACCUUGAGUAGAUGACGGUACCCGCAUAAGAAGCACCGGCUAACUACGUGCCAGCAGCCGCGGUAAUACGUAGGGUGCGAGCGUUAAUCGGAAUUACGCAGCGGAAAGUGUGCGUCGGAGGUGAAAUCCCCGGGCUCAACCUGGGAACUGCAUUUGAGACUGCAAGGCUAGAGUGUAGCAGAGGGGGGUAGAAUUCCACGUGUAGCAGUGAAAUGCGUAGAGAUGUGGAGGAAUACCGAUGGCGAAGGCAGCCCCCUGGGUUACUACUGACGCUCAUGCACGAAAGCGUGGGGAGCAAACAGGAUUAGAUACCCCAGUAGUC
rnacentral:rRNA from 1 species